rnacentral:misc_RNA from 1 species
CCACCACUGCAUGCUGCAAAGCAGAAGACAAAGUGGCCGUUGGUCUUGAAAUUGGAAGUUGUACCUUAUUUGAAGAAGCCAUCAAUAAAGAAAUUCUGCAGUCCCAAGUUGUUACAAAGUGGCAGCAAUUUGAAGUUCAUCCAUGGCCAAGAGGUGCAUUCAUUAUUGUACACAUGAAAAUCCUUGCAAUCAGCAGCUUCUCCAGGCAAGGG